rnacentral:rRNA from 1 species
UUCCAGACUCCUACGGGAGGCAGCAGUGGGGAAUAUUGCACAAUGGGGGAAACCCUGAUGCAGCGACGCCGCGUGAGUGAAGAAGUAUUUCGGUAUGUAAAGCUCUAUCAGCAGGGAAGAUAAUGACGGUACCUGACUAAGAAGCCCCGGCUAACUACGUGCCAGCAGCCGCGGUAAUACGUAGGGGGCAAGCGUUAUCCGGAUUUACUGGGUGUAAAGGGAGCGUAGACGGCAGCACAAGUCUGGAGUGAAAUGCCGGGGCUUAACCCCGGAACUGCUUUGGAAACUGUGCAGCUAGAGUGCAGGAGAGGUAAGUGGAAUUCCUAGUGUAGCGGUGAAAUGCAUAGAUAUCGCGCAGAACUCCGAUUGCGAAGGCAGCAUGCCGGCUCCACACUGACGCUGAGGCACGAAAGCGUGGGUAUCGAGCAGGAUUAGAUACCCGAGUAG